CAAGGGGUAGAGAGGAGUGUUGGGUCGUAAAAGUACUGUGCCGUUAUGUUGGUGGUGGAAAUAUCAUGCAGGUGAUUUAUUAUGGCCAUUAGGAUAAAGACAGAAUCAUUAGUGAAUUAUGAUUUUACUCCGGUGCAGUAUAACUGUGACUUGAAACCCAGUUGGCUAUACUACUCGCCCUUCCGGCUCAUUUCAUCUUUAAAUAAACUGUUGUUUCUGUUCUCCAACUGCCUUUGGAUUGUUCAAGCAAGCCACCGGUGAAAACCAUGCAUCCUUUAGUUUUAGUAGUGUACAUUCAUCUGAUCGUACACCUCGCAAUCUAAGUCAUCAGUAAGAUCGAUCCAUCAUCGGCUUCUCCUUGUAGGCUUUAAUUGGCCUCGAACAGGCAAUCCUUACAGUCAAUGCUCUUUGUAUGUAGAUUGAAAUUCAAGGUACAAGAACGCGUAAACCGGUUGAACGAGUACGUCUUACACUACGAAACUCUCGACUAUAUUGCGGACGCCAUUGUUGCCCAACAGAAUCGAAAUAGACAAAGUGCGGUCGGCAGAGAAGAAGAAUCAUAUCUUCGGCUCCGUUUUCGCAACCACGGAAAACAUUUUCAUUUUAAAACAGAAAAGGGACACAUAGACGUUCAGUUCUGGCGUCCAAUUUGUAUCUCAUAAAAGCCAUCCGCUGGACGUCGAUACCUCGCAUCUCUACGAAGACACCUCCAAGGCAAACCAAAGAGCAUGGUCUGUGGAGUGAUCAUUGAUGGUAUCUUCGAUGGCGACAUCCAUAGCGAAGAUGGCGUCCUCUACGUUGAAAAGGCAAUCAAAUACUUUGCUGGCAACAGCAGGACUGCCAAAUUUCAUCGUCGCAAUUCAUUUCGAUCUAUCAUCUACAAUGAAGUGCACGUCCUCGAUCGGUAUGAAGAACAUCGCACAGGACAAGUGGACGGUUGCGGUGUGACCGAUGGAGUGGCCGCCUGGAUGGACGACAUUCAGCACGGAGCAAUUGUCGAGAAAACCUACGAAAUCAACAAGACCCCCCUUUUUGCACGUUGGAUAUUUAGGUUAGAUGCCUUCGUAGGUCGACGACGUGCACUUUCUUGUAGAUGAAAGAGCGAUAUGAAUUGUAACGAUGAGAUUUGGCGGUUGUGCUAUUGUCAGCAAAGUAUGUGAUUGCCUUUUCGACGUAGAGGACGCCAUCUUGGCUAUGGAUUUUGCCAUCGAAGAUACCAUCAAUGAUCGGUCCAUAGACUAUGCUUUUUGGUUCGCCUAUGAUGGCUUUUAUGAGAUACCACCUGGACGUCUGAGCUGAAUGUCGAUCUUUCCCUUUUCAGUUUUAAAUGAGAUGCUUUUCCAUGGCUGAAAAAAGGGAGCCGAAGAUACGAUUCUUGUUCUCCUCCAACCGCACGUUGUCUAUUUCGACUUUGUUGGGAAUUAAUAGCGUCCGCAUUGCAUUCGAGUCUCGUACUGACGGAAGUACUUGUUCUAACGGUUACCCGUUUUUGUACCCUUGAAUUUCAAUCAACAUAUAUAGAGCAAUAAAGAAGGUAAGGACAAAUUGGACUUUACCCACAACAUUGACCACAUCGGGCCAAAGUUUUUCUAGUCAGAAGCUUUUUUCUUCUUCAUAGUAUACCAUGCCAUGCAUUCCAAUCGCGAUUUGCAAAUUCAAAAAUCGCAAAGUUCAAUGAGCGGGAAAAAAGUUCUUAAGCUCAAUCUCUGAUUGACUGAAAGAUGUGAGAAAUAUUGACAAUGCAUAGCAUACCGAGAAGCGUGUAAAGCUUUAGC